rnacentral:rRNA from 1 species
AACGAACGCUGGCGGCAGGCUUAACACAUGCAAGUCGAACGCCCCGCAAGGGUAGUGGCAGACGGGUGAGUAACGCGUGGGAGCAUACCCUUUCCUGCGGAAUAGCUCUGGGAAACUGGAAUUAAUACCGCAUACGCCCUACGGGGGAAAGAUUUAUCGGGGAAGGAUUGGCCCGCGUUGGAUUAGCUAGUUGGUGGGGUAAAGGCCUACCAAGGCGACGAUCCAAAGCUGGUCUGAGAGGAUGAUCAGCCACAUUGGGACUGAGACACGGCCCAAACUCCUACGGGAGGCAGCAGUGGGGAAUAUUGGACAAUGGGCGCAAGCCUGAUCCAGCCAUGCCGCGUGAGUGAUGAAGGCCUUAGGGUUGUAAAGCUCUUUCACCGAUGAAGAUAAUGACGGUAGUCGGAGAAGAAGCCCCGGCUAACUUCGUGCCAGCCGCCGCCGUAACAC